UUUGUUCAGAAAUUGGAGUUGCUAUAUUUUGAUCCAAAUGAAAAAUAAAAACUUAUAAUGAAGGAUGGAUGGGUGUCAUUUUCCCUUAUAGUUUUUAUAUUGCUUCGUAGAUGAUUGUAUUUAUUUUUUAUGCGAUCAAGCCUCAAUUCUUGUAUCUUUUAUGGCACCAUUUUAAUAGAACUUGAUCGAUACUUGCAGUUUUUCUGCCAAAACAAUUAUAGGGCGGCAUACAAAUUUUGUAGAGGUUACUUUGUAUAGCCUAAUUCAAGAUUUCUUUUUUCUUUGACUUUUGACAUGCAAUUCUUAUUUUGACCAUUAAAUGGAAAUUAAUCAUGCAUUUUCUCAGUAGUGUGAUGCUUAUUUGGCUUUUGACAUGCAAUUCUUGUAGAGAUGAUGCUUUUGGGAUUCAUUUCACUCGUACUCACUAUCAGGUGUCAAGGAAGCUCAUGUGAGCCAAAUAGUCAGCAAAGCAGAGGAUUAUAACAGCAGCAACUUACAGCUGCGAGUUGAUGAUUUGGACUGCCAGCUGGCACCUGGUGGUUAUAUAAUUUCUUGUACUCGUAACUGAUUAGUUGUAGUUUGUUAAUAAGCUGCUGCAUGAUUAGCAUGUGAGAUUAGUUUAGCUAGUAUGGUUAAUCAGUUACGUGAGUAUAUAAAGCAAAGGCAGCACAUUUCCUCUGUAAUCUUGUUGAAAGAAAUAAAAACAAAUUCUCAGAUUCUUAUCAUUUUCUCUCAAUAUUUCUUAGUCAUCAAACAAGCUGUUUUGUCACUUGGUAUCAGAGCCAAGAUAAUGGCGUCUGUUAAUCUAGUUACUUCAAAUCAGAUCCAAAAUACUCCCGCUGUUUCAACUAAUAUUUCAUUCACUUUCAAUACACCAGUGAAGCUUGAUCAAGCUAACUAUCUCAUAUGGCGAUCUCAAGUGCUUGCUUCAAUUCGUGGCAACAGACUUGAAAAGCUUAUUGAUGACUCGAUUACUCCUCCUCCAUCUCACAUUGCUCAAAGAGUUGGAGAUGACGUCAGAUCUGUGGAGAAUCCAGACUUUAUAUCUUGGAGAUCUCAGGAUCAAGUGCUGCUUGGAUGGUUACUCUCUUCAAUGAGUGAAGGAAUCAUCAGUCUAGUCUUCAAUCUGGAGACAUCACGUGAGGUUUGGAAAGCUGUUGAGGUACAAUUUGGUUCUCAAUCCAAAUCACGACUGUUACAUCUAAGAUAUAUGAUGAAUUCUACUAGAAAGGAUGAUAUGAAAAUCACAGAUUACUUCAUUAAAAUGAAAAACAUAUCUGAUAAUAUGGCUGCAGCAGGAAGUGCCUUGAGUAAUGAUGACUUAAUUUUGCAUGUGUUGUCUGGUUUAGGACCAGAUUAUAAUUCAGUAGCUACCUAUAUAACUGGUCAAGUAGGAACUGGAAAAAUGGAUCUGAAUGAAGCUUAUGCAAUGCUUUUAACUCAAGAAGUUAGGAUUGAACAACAGUCUCAUAUGCUAGCUGGUACAGAUAUGAAAAAUAACUUUGAAGCAAAUUUUGCUCAAAACAGAGGACCUAAGAAAGGAAACAUGUUCAAUGGAAAAGGUUUUGGUGGUUAUGGCUAUAAUUCUGGUUCUGGAAAUAACUAUAACUCAGGCUUUAGCAAUAAUGGUUAGUACAAAGGAAACUUUGGUACUGAGUUUGCUGGUACUGGUUUUAACAAUCAGUUCAAAGGAUACCAGUCCAGUAAUCAUGGAGGGGGAGGAGGAGGUAACUGGAAUAACAACAAUGGACCAAGUAACUUUAACAGUGGCAAACCAUCUGUGAAUCCUAAGCCACAAUGGAAUGCAUCAAAGCCUACCUGUCAAAUUUGCCUCAGGCCUGGACACACUGCAAAUAUUUGCUGGAAACUUGAAGAGUUUAUUACUUCAGGUGCUUACAAACCACCACCAAAUAGAGGACCUAAGGCAGCUUAUCUGGCUAACAUGGAUGCUCCAGUUGACAACAAUUGGUAUCUGGAUAGCGGAGCCACACAUCACCUCACAAAUGAUAUGAAUAAUGUGAAUGGUGUUGAACCUUUUGCAGGUAAUUCCAAACUUAUUGUUGGAAAUGGUGUUGGUUUGUGCAUAACACACAUAGGUUCUGUUGUUCUAAGAAUGCCUGAUGAUCUGAAUUAUUCUGAUCUUAAGCUAAACAACAUUCUACUUGUUCCAAAAAUAACCAAAAACCUGAUAAGUAUUUCCCAAUUAACCAAAGAUAAUAAUGUUGUGGCUGAAUUUACUGAUAGUUUCUGUUUUGUGAAGGACAAGGUGAAGAAUUCAGUUAUGCUACAGGGCAAAGCUGAAAAAGGUUUAUAUAGAUUGUUGUGUGUUUCCUCAACCAAGUCCUCUGCUUCACAGUCAAACCAAGGUCUUCUUACUCAUGUCGAGUCAGCUGUUUCAAAUCAGCCAAUUUCAAUGUUUUCAACUGUUGUUUCAAAAUUUCCAAAUAAAACUGCUUGCUGUUUGCAUACAGAAGCACUAUGUUGUCAAACUCCUAGUUGUAUGUUGAAUACUAUGGUAUUACAUCAGAGACUAAGGUGCUUAGUCAUGUAAUCAAUUCUUGUUCUUCCUUAAAGAAUGUCAGUGGUAAUAAAACAAUCGAUUCCUGUGAUGCUUGUAAGAUGGGAAAAAUGCAUAAACUUCAUUUUUCAAUUACUGAAACCAAAACCAAAAAUCCUUUGGAACUUCUACAUACUAAUCUAUGGGGACCUUCUCCCACACCUUCUAUCCAAGGAUACAAAUACUAUGUUAGCUUUGUGGAUGACUUCACAAGGUUCACCUGGAUUUUCCCUUUGAAAACCAAAGCUGAUACAUUUCAAGUGUUUAAAAUCUUUAAAGCUCAGGUGGAAAAACAAUUGGAUAAGCCUAUUAAAUGUCUUCAGUUAGAUUGGGGUGGGGAAUACAGAUCUUUUGUUCAUUUUCUUCAUGAAACAGGAAUACAAUUUAGACAUUCAUGCCCUUAUACACACAAUCAAAAUGGUCUUGUAGAAAGAAAGCAUAGGCACAUCACUGAGUUGGGUUUAACUUUACUUGCACAAGCUAAAAUACCCAUCAAAUUCUAGUGGGAUUCUUUUCAUACAGCCACUUACAUUAUUAACAGAUUACCAACUCCUGUUCUUUCCAUGAAAACUCCCUAUGAAUGUCUCUUUCAUUUGCUACCUGAUUAUCCUUUUCUCAAAACUUUUGGUUGUGCUUGUUUUCCAUUCUUAAGAGAUUACAAUCGUCACAAGUUUGAUUUCCAUACAUCCAAGUGUGUCUUCCUAGGAUACAGUCCAUUACACAAAGGUUACAAGUGUCUUCAUCCAUUAGGGAAAACUUAUAUAGCCAGCCAUGUUCUUUUUUAUGAAACCUCUUUUCCAUACUCUACUGAUUCACAUUUUUUGAAGUCCUUGCCACCUAAGGUGUCUGACUUCCAAUACAAUUCUCUACAGUUUUACAAUAUUUCAGUUCCUCAUAGCAAUCUAAAACCUUUUGAAGCUGCUGCAGCAGACACUGAUUCUCAUACUUCUAGUUCUAAUUACAAUAUCAUGUCACCUUCCUUCUCUACUCAUCCUGUUUCUUCUACUGAUACCAUAUCCUCACCUAUUAUUUACACCACAUCUCCUAUCACAACUCCAAACACUACAUCUUCACCCAUCAUCCAUCACCACUCUCCAGAAUUUCCUAUAACACAUCAGGUUCCUUUACACACAUCACCUUCCAGACCAUCUUUCUCCUCUGCUCAUCCUAUGAUUACCAGAGCUAAAGCUGGUAUCUUCAAACCUAAGGCAUUCUUAACAGCACAUAAUAGCUUAGAGCCUUCUAGUGUUGAUGAAGCUUUAGCUGAUCCUAAGUGGCAAGCUGCAAUGCAACUGGAAUAUGAUGCACUUAUUCAAAACAAAACCUGGAGUCUAGUUCCAAUGGAUCCAGCUUAUAAACUGGUGGGUUGUAAGUGGGUUUUCAGAACAAAGUAUAAUCCAGAUGGCUCAGUCUCUAAGUAUAAGGCUCGGUUGGUUGCUAAGGGUUUCCAUCAGACAGCUGGGGUUGACUAUUCAGAAACUUACAGUCCUAUAGUUAAGUCUUCCACUGUCAGAGUUAUACUGAGCUUAGCAGUCAUGCAAGACUGGAAUGUUAGACAAAUAGACAUCAACAAUGCCUUUCUUAAUGGGGAUCUCACUGAAGAUGUGUUCAUGCAACAGCCAGAGGGUUUUGUUUCAGGGGGAGGCUACGUCUGCAAGCUAAACAAAGCCCUUUAUGGUUUAAAACAGGCACCAAGGGCCUGGUAUGAUAAACUUAAGGGCUGUCUUACUGAUUGGAAGUUUACAAACGCUAAGGCUGAUACCUCACUGUUUAUUAGGCAUGACAUUAAAGGCAUAAUCUUUGUUUUGAUCUAUAUAGAUUAUAUUCUAGUCACAGGACCAGAUUCAGUCUUGCUGGAGGCUUUCAUCACAAACUUGAGUAAAGUAUUUGCCUUAAAAGACUUAGGUCUGGUUUCAUACUUCCUUGGUAUAGAAGUCAGCUACACAGAUCAUGGAAUGCAUCUCUCCCAAACUAAGUAUAUCAAGGAUUUGCUAGCUAAAGCAUCAAUGCAGAACUGCAAAGAGACAGAAACUUCUUUCAGCACAGGCUACAAAUUAGAAAGAACAGCUAAAGGUCUUUUGGGUGCAGAAUUUGAAAAUCCAACUCUCUACAGAAGUAUAGUUGGAGGACUUCAAUACUUGAUCUUAACCAGACCAGACAUUGCCUAUUCAGUACAUAAACUUAGCCAGUAUCUAUGUGCCCCAACUCUCCAACAUUGGUUAGCUUGUAAAAAGGUGUUGAGAUAUUUACAAGGAACUAUUACACAUGGUCUUUAUAUUCAGCAAGAGGGGACUUUGGAAACAAUUGGCUUGACAGGGUAUUCAGAUGCUGAUUGGGCGUGUGAUAUUGAUGACAGAAAAUCCAUUGGAGCUUACUGUAUUUUCCUUGGCAAUAAUCUAGUUUCCUGGUCUUCGAAAAAGCAAGCUAUUGUAGCAAAGUCUAGCACUGAAAGUGAAUACCGACCAUUGUCGGCAGCAAGUUCAGAGCUUACUUGGCUACAGUCCUUGUUUUCUGAGCUGAAGAUUAUCAAGUUGCCAACUUCUGUUCUCUGGUGUGAUAAUCAGAGUGCAGGUGAUCUAGCUAAAAAUCCAGUAUUUCACUCUAAGUCCAAACAUAUAGAGCUGGAUGUUCAUUACAUUAGAGAUAAGGUUCUGAAUAAGGAGUUAGAAGUAAGGUACAUUCUCACUGAAGAGCAAGUGGCAGAUGUUCUUACUAAGCCUCUGUCAUUUCCAAAAUUUAGUUAUUUUCGUUCCAAGCUCAAUGUGAUCAACAGACCCUUGAGCUUGAGAGGGGAUGUCAAGGAAGCUCAUGUGAGCCAAAUAGUCAGCAAAGCAGAGGAUUAUAACAGCAGCAGCUUACAGCUGCGAGUUGAUGAUUUGGACUGCCAGCUGGCACCUGGUGGUUAUAUAAUUUCUUGUACUCGUAACUGAUUAGUUGUAGUUUGUUAAUAAGCUGCUG
rnacentral:lncRNA from 1 species